CUCUUACCACAGAGGAGAGAAGCAGGAUGUUCAACAGGAGGUGCCUGGCUGAAAAAAGCAAGAAGGGGAAAACUUCUCUCAGUGUUUGUGUGCAGAAGAAGACUGUGCAACAUGUCAAGAGAAAGCUUCAGUUUGUUCCAGUGUACAGGAGAAAUGAAGCACCCUGCCAGCACAGCAAAACAAG